UGCCGGAUAAUUGAUGCAUAGCAGUCAGACAGUGUGAGAUAAGUUUCAUUGUCAAAAGGGAAACAGCCCAGACCUACAGCUAAGGUCCCUAAUGGAUACUAAGUGGAAAACGAUGUGAAGUUGCACAGACAACCAGGAUGUUGGCUUAGAAGCAGCCACUCAUUAAAAGAGUGCGUAAUAGCUCACUGGUCGAGUGACCCUGCGCCGAAAAUUCAACGGGGCUAAACAAUGUACCGAAGCUUGGGAUUCUAAAGUAAUUUAGAGUGGUAGGAGAGCGUCGAAUAAGGGGUGAAGUCAGAGCGGAAGCGCUGGUGGACUUUAUUCAAGUGAGAAUGCCGGAAUGAGUAGCGAGAAAUGUGUGAGAAUCAUAUUGGCCGAAAGUCUAAGGUUUUUGGAGGAAGGUUCGUCCGCUCCAAGUAAGUCGGGAGCUAAGGUCAGGCCGAAAGGCGUAGCCGAUGCACAUACGGUUGAUAUUCCGUAACCAUCUGUAAUUUAAGCAAAGGGACACUUCAAAAGGGUGUGACCCGGGCGUUGGUUGACCCGGGCGUAAGGGACCGAAAUUAGAGUAGGGAAGCACACUUAGCUGAAGGCGAGAAAAGCUUUGCGUAUAGAAACAGAUGCCCGUACCGCAAACCGACACAGGUGGACAGGAAGAGAAUUCUAAGGCCAGCGGGAGAAGGGUAGUUAAGGAACUCGGCAAAUUGACUCCGUAACUUCGGAAUAAGGAGUGCUCGAAAGAGCCGCAGAGAAUAGGCCCAGGCGACUGUUUAGCAAAAACACAGGUCUCUGCCAAAUCGAAAGAUGAAGUAUAGGGGCUGACACCUGCCCGGUGCCGGAAGGUUAAGAGGAGGAGUGAGAGCUCCGAAUUGAAGCCCCGGUAAACGGCGGCCGUAACUAUAACGGUCCUAAGGUAGCGAAAUUCCUUGUCGGGUAAGUUCCGACCCGCACGAAUGGUGUAACGAUCUGGGCACUGUCUCAACUACCCACCCGGCGAAAUUGUAGUACCGGUGAAGAUGCCGGUUACCUGCGGCAAGACGGAAAGACCCCAUGGAGCUUUACUGUAGCCUGAUAUUGGGUUUCGGAAAUCUAUGUACAGGAUAGGCGGGAGACUGGGAAACAUGAGCGUCAGCUUGUGUGGAGUCGAUGUUGGGAUACCGCCCUUAGGUUUCUGGAAUUCUAACCUGCGGCCGUGAAUCCGGUCGGGGGACAUUGUCAGGUGGGCAGUUUGACUGGGGCGGUCGCCUCCGAAAAGGUAACGGAGGCGCUCAAAGGUUGGCUCAGCACGGACGGAAACCGUGCCUCUGAGUGUAAACGCAAAAGCCAGCCUAACUGCGAGGAUGACGGUCCGAGCAGUAACGAAAGUUGGAGUUAGUGAUCCGGCGGUAUG
rnacentral:rRNA from 1 species